GAUGAAGACGUAGCGAAAUGCGAUAAGUAGUGUGAAUUGCAGAAUUCAGUGAAUCAUCGAAUCUUUGAACGCACAUUGCGCCCCUUGGUAUUCCAUGGGGCAUGCCUGUUCGAGCGUCAUUUGUACCCUCAAGCUUUGCUUGGUGUUGGGCGUCUUGUCUUGUAUUAGACUCGCCUUAAAGUCAUUGGCAGCCAGUGUUUUUGGUAGUAAGCGCAGCACAUUUUGCGUCUUAGUCCUUGAAUCGUGGCAUCCAUGAAGCCUUUUUUCACUUUUGACCUCGGAUCAGGUAGGGAUACCCGCUGAACUUAAGCAUAUCAAUAAGCGGAGGA
rnacentral:misc_RNA from 1 species